CAGCCGCCGCGGGAAUACAGAGGGUGCGAGCGUUAAUCGGAUUUACUGGGCGUAAAGCGUGUGUAGGUUGUUGUUCAAGUCAGUUGUGAAAUCCCUGGGCUCAACCUGGGAACUGCUUCUGAGACUGAACGACUAGAGUACGGUAGAGGGUGGUGGAAUUUCCGGUGUAGCGGUGAAAUGCGUAGAUAUCGGAAGGAACAUCAAUGGCGAAGGCAGCCACCUGGGCCUGUACUGACACUGAGACACGAAAGCGUGGGGAUCAAACAGGAUUAGAUACCCCUGUAGUCCCUGUCUCUUAUAC
rnacentral:rRNA from 1 species